rnacentral:rRNA from 1 species
UGCAAGUUCGAAACGAAAAAGCGUUCUUCGGAACGUGAGUACAGUGGCGGACGGGUGAGUAACACGUGGGGAACCUGCCCUCAAGCUGGGAACAACCCGCCUAACGGCGGGCUAAUACCGAAUGUGGUUGUCAGUCCGCAUGGUAUGACAACUAAAGGUGGCCUCUCCUUGGAAGCUACCGCUUGUGGAUGGCCCCGCGCUCAAUUAGCUAGUUGGUAGGGUAACGGCCUACCAAGGCGACGAUUGAUAGCCGACCUGAGAGGGUGAUCGGCCACACUGGGAUUGAGAUAAGGCCCAGUCUCCUACGGGAGCCAGCAGUCUAGAAAUUUGGGCAAUGGGCGAAAGCCUGACCCAGCGACGCCGCGUGGGGGAUGAAGCUUCUCGGAGUGUAAACCCCUGUUAGGUGGGACGAAAGCCCGUAUACGAAUAGUAGGCGGGUUUGACGGUACCACCAGAGGAAGCUCCGGCUAACUCCGUGCCAGCAGCCGCGGUAAUACCGGGGGAGCAAGCGUUGUUCGGAGUUAUUGGGCGUAAAGGGCGUACAGGCGGUGGUGUCAGUCAGAUGUGAAAUCCCCCGGCUCAACCGGGGACCUGCAUUUGAUACUGCA